rnacentral:rRNA from 1 species
UUGAACGCUGGCGGCAGGCCUAACACAUGCAAGUCGAGCGGAAACGAAGAGUAGCUUGCUACUCUGGCGUCGAGCGGCGGACGGGUGAGUAAUGCUUGGGAACAUGCCUUGAGGUGGGGGACAACAGUUGGAAACGACUGCUAAUACCGCAUAAUGUCUACGGACCAAAGGGGGCUUCGGCUCUCGCCUUUAGAUUGGCCCAAGUGGGAUUAGCUAGUUGGUGAGGUAAUGGCUCACCAAGGCGACGAUCCCUAGCUGGUUUGAGAGGAUGAUCAGCCACACUGGGACUGAGACACGGCCCAGACUCCUACGGGAGGCAGCAGUGGGGAAUAUUGCACAAUGGGCGCAAGCCUGAUGCAGCCAUGCCGCGUGUGUGAAGAAGGCCUUCGGGUUGUAAAGCACUUUCAGUCAGGAGGAAAGGUUAGUAGUUAAUACCUGCUAGCUGUGACGUUACUGACAGAAGAAGCACCGGCUAACUCCGUGC